UGCCGUCGAACCUCACUGUGGAAGCCAUCAAACGCUGUCAUGAACCCAGCCGUAGAAUCGGUUGAAGCUAUCGAUGCCAUGAAGUUCGUGAAGCUCCAUCGAAGUCAAAAUCCAGCGAAGCCGUAGACGCCUUGCUAUCUCUGCUGCACUGUCAUGGCUCACGCCGAGUCGCUGCUCUCUUGUUGCUAAAGCCCGUGCCACCGAAGUCGCUGAAGUCUAUCCAUCCGUCCAGAUCUCCUCUCCCUCUCCCAUGUCGCCGUUGUGCCGAAGCUUGCCAAAGAUGACCAUGUUCACACUCUCUGGUGUUCUGGUUUCACGACCACGUCUCAGAUCUAAUGCUUGAAAUGAUCAUAGCUAGUCACGAUCGUCCUUCACAAAAAGGAAAACAAUUCUUGCAUGAUAUUGUUGCAAACGGUCACAAUGGAAUUGAUGUCGACAAGUAAGUCAUGCUUUUUUGUAUUUACUUGAUCAUUAAUACUCGCACUCUUGAAAUAAUUUAUGCACGUAUAGGUUCGACUAAAUUGUUCAUGACACCCGUUCUUGUGCUAAGGAUGCAGCUUUCAGCUGCUAGCAAGACAACACUUGCACUUCAAGUUAUAAUAGAAGCUCAAAAGCUUGGAGGUACUUGUUGACCAUUCUUAUCUUCAUUUUU